UGAUGACGUGCGUUCUAAUACUUUUAUG
rnacentral:sRNA from 1 species